rnacentral:rRNA from 1 species
GAUGAACGCUGGCGGCGUGCUUAACACAUGCAAGUCGAACGAAGCGCUUGAAACAGAUUCUUCGGAUGAAGUUUCCUGUGACUGAGUGGCGGACGGGUGAGUAACGCGUGGGUAACCAGCCUCAUACAGGGGGAUAACAGUUAGAAAUGGCUGCUAAUACCGCAUAAGCGCACGGCAUCGCAUGAUGCAGUGUGAAAAACUCCGGUGGUAUGAGAUGGACCCACGUUGGAUUAGCUAGUUGGCAGGGUAACGGCCUACCAAGGCGACGAUCCAUAGCCGGCCUGAGAGGGUGGACGGCCACAUUGGGACGUAGAAACGGCCCAGACUCCUGCGGGAGGGAGCAGUGGGGAAGAUUGCAAAAUGGGGGAAACCCUGAUGCAGCGACGCCGCGUGAGCGAAGAAGUAUGUCGGUAUGUAAAGCUCUAUCAGCAGGGAAGAAAAUGACGGUACCUGACUAAGAAGCCCCGGCUAACUACGUGCCAGCAGCCGCAGUAA